GCGUUGCUCGGAAUGACUGGGCGUAAAGGGCGCGUAGGCGGAUGUUACAGUCAGAUGUGAAAUUCCCGGGCUUAACCUGGGGGCUGCAUUUGAUACGUAGUGUCUAGAGUGAGGAAGAGGGUUGUGGAAUUCCCAGUGUAGAGGUGAAAUUCGUAGAUAUUGGGAAGAACACCGGUGGCGAAGGCGGCAACCUGGUCCUUGACUGACGCUGAGGCGCGAAAGCGUG
rnacentral:rRNA from 1 species